UAUUUUCUCAUUAUGCAUAGCUUUGAGAAGUUUAUAAUUUUUCACCGAGCAGUAGCUCUAAAUGGGGCUGUGUUGCGAGUGCGCCAACUUAUCUCAACAAUUCCAAAUGGGACUAAAAUUGUUCCAUUUUUCCUUCUGUAACUCUUAUACUCCUAUACUCUUGAAAACCUGAUAACAAAACAAUUUCCCAACAUUUCUGUUUUCUUGCAUAACUUCAC
rnacentral:lncRNA from 1 species